UUUCCGUAGGUGAACCUGCGGAAGGAUCAUUAUCGAGCUUCCAAAAAGUCUCAUACCGUGCAUACUAUCCAUUUGUGCGUAUGUGAGCCGCGUAGUGCACCGCCACGCUGGUACGAUCGCUGUUGGCUGUUUCUUGUUUGGCCGGCAAUCAAUGAUCGGGUGGAGCACGUUGUAAACGCGAUUUGAGUGCACUCAGGAUGAUGCGUUCGGCAGGUUAAAGUGUUCGCAUCGCUGGGUUUCUGAGGCACGCUAUAAGUACUGACGGUGCCCUUCGUUGGCGUCUAUACUGUGCAGGGCUAAUGCCCGGACCGUCAUUAGCGAUGAAAUGCACAGAGAGCAGCUCCUCGUGCAAACGGGUCGAGCAGACUUAAUGAGCGUUCAGCAAGUGCGCUGCCAACAACCAAAUGCCCCCAAUACACUGAUUCUUUGUAUCAAAACAUUCGCUGGCAAAAGCUGAAAAUUUGCGUUUUUGGCUUUGAAAGUGAAAAAGUGUACUACUCUUAGCGGUGGAUCACUCGGCUCGU
rnacentral:misc_RNA from 1 species